rnacentral:rRNA from 1 species
UUAAGCUAUAAAGAGCACAGGGUGGAUGCCUAGGCACUGAGAGCCGAUGAAGGACGUGAUAAGCUGCGAAAAGCCACGGGGAGGAGCAAAUAUCCUUUGAGCCGUGGAUAUCCGAAUGGGGGAACCCACUUAAGUAAACCUUAAGUACUGACAAGCCAAUACAUAACUUGCCAGAGGGAACCCGGGGAACUGAAACAUCUAAGUACCCGGAGGAAGAGAAAGAAACAUCGAUUUCCUUAGUAGCGGCGAGCGAAAGGGAAAGAGCCCAAACCGAGAGAUUUAUCUUUCGGGGUUAGGACUGCAUAAUUGAUCUGCGAUUGAUAGGAGAAUGGUCUGGGAAGUCCAGCAGGAAAGCGUGAAAGCCGCGUAUCCGAAAUUGAAAGCAGCAAGGCAGUAUCCAGAGUACCACGAGACACGAGGAACCUUGUGGGAAUGAGCGGAGACCACUCCGUAAGGCUAAAUACUACUCAGUGACCGAUAGCGCAUAGUACUGUGAAGGAAAGGUGAAAAGGACCCCGGGAGGGGAGUGAAAGAGAACCUGAAACCCUGUGUUUACAAGCUGUCGAAGCACGUUAAGUGCGACGGCGUACUUUUUGUAGAACGGUCCGGCGAGUUAUGAUACGCGGUAAGGUUAAGGACUUAAGGUCCGGAGCCGAAGCGAAAGCGAGUGUUAAGAGCACGAGGAAUCACGUAUCAUAGACCCGAAACCGGGUGAUCUAUCCAUGUCCAGGAUGAAGCUGCCGUAAGAGGUAGUGGAGGUCCGAACACACAUCCGUUGAAAAGGGUGGUGAUGAGGUGUGGAUAGGGGAGAAAUUCCAAUCGAACCCGGAGAUAGCUGGUUCUCCUCGAAAUAGCUUUAGGGCUAGCCUCAUUUUAGUCUUAUGGAGGUAGAGCACUGAAUUUCCGCGGGGGCGUCAAAGCUUACCAAAGAAUAUCAAACUCCGAAUGCCAUGUAGAUGAUGAAUGGGAGUCAGACUGCACGAGAUAAGUUGGGUGGUCAAAAGGGAAAGAGCCCAGACCUACAGCUAAGGUCCCAAAGUGCGUGUUAAGUGGAAAAGGAUGUGGGAUUUCGAAGACAACUAGGAUGUUGGCUCAGAAGCAGCCAUACAUUCAAAGAGUGCGUAAUAGCUCACUAGUCGAGAGGUCCUGCGCCGAAAAUGUCCGGGGCUGAAACACGACACCGAAGCUUAGGAACAGAAAUGUUGGUAGAGGAGCAUUGUUAGCGGAACGAAGCCAUACCGGAAGGAGUGGUGGACUGCUAAGAAGAGAGAAUGCCGGAAUGAGUAGCGAGAUUGAAGUGAGAAUCUUCAAGGCCGAAUAUCUAAGGUUUCCAGGGUAAAGCUGAUCUGCCCUGGGUAAGUCGGGGCCUAAGGCGAGGUCGAAAGACGUAGCCGAUGGACAACAGGUUGAAAUUCCUGUACUGCGAUAUAUCAGAAAUGUGGGGACACAGAAGGAAAGUGUGAGCCGGGAAAGGAAAGACCGGUGCAAGCACAGGAGGAGAGAUACAGGCAAAUCCGUAUUUCAAUCCAAUGGUGUUACGCGGAGCGAACAAAAGUAGCGAAGCACAUGGACCAUCUGUCGAGAAAAGCCGCUAUUGUGUAUACCGUACCCGUACCGUAAACCGACACAGGUGGAUGAGGAGAGAAUCCUAAGGCCGGCGGGAGAAGCAUUGUUAAGGAACUCGGCAAAAUGACCCCGUAACUUCGGGAGAAGGGGUGCUCACGCAAGUGAGCCGCAGAGAACUGGCCCAAGCAACUGUUUAGCAAAAACACAGGUCUAUGCAAAACCGAAAGGUGAGGUAUAUGGGCUGACGCCUGCCCGGUGCUGGAAGGUUAAGAGGAGAGGUUAGCGCAAGCGAAGCUUUGAAUUUAAGCCCCAGUAAACGGCGGCCGUAACUAUAACGGUCCUAAGGUAGCGAAAUUCCUUGUCGGGUAAGUUCCGACCCGCACGAAAGGCGUAAUGAUUUGGGCACUGUCUCAACAAUGCACCCGGUGAAAUUGAAAUACCAGUGAAGAUGCUGGUUACCUGCGCCAGGACGGAAAGACCCCAUGGAGCUUUACUCUAGCUUGAUACUGGGAUUCGGUAUUGCAUGUACAGGAUAGGUGGGAGACUAAGAGGUGAUGACGCCAGUUGUCACGGAGUCGAUGUUGGGAUACCACCCCUGCAGUACUGGGUUUCUAACCUGCGGCCGUGACCCGGCCGGGGGACAAUGUCUGGUGGGGAGUUUGACUGGGGCGGUCGCCUCCGAAAGGGUAUCGGAGGCGCUCAAAGGU